rnacentral:rRNA from 1 species
AAAUUGAAGAGUUUGAUCAUGGCUCAGAUUGAACGCUGGCGGCAGGCCUAACACAUGCAAGUCGAACGGUAACAGGAAGCAGCUUGCUGCUUCGCUGACGAGUGGCGGACGGGUGAGUAAUGUCUGGGAAACUGCCUGAUGGAGGGGGAUAACUACUGGAAACGGUAGCUAAUACCGCAUAACGUCGCAAGACCAAAGAGGGGGACCUUCGGGCCUCUUGCCAUCGGAUGUGCCCAGAUGGGAUUAGCUUGUUGGUGGGGUAACGGCUCACCAAGGCGACGAUCCCUAGCUGGUCUGAGAGGAUGACCAGCCACACUGGAACUGAGACACGGUCCAGACUCCUACGGGAGGCAGCAGUGGGGAAUAUUGCACAAUGGGCGCAAGCCUGAUGCAGCCAUGCCGCGUGUAUGAAGAAGGCCUUCGGGUUGUAAAGUACUUUCAGCGGGGAGGAAGGGAGUAAAGUUAAUACCUUUGCUCAUUGACGUUACCCGCAGAAGAAGCACCGGCUAACUCCGUGCCAGCAGCCGCGGUAAUACGGAGGGUGCAAGCGUUAAUCGGAAUUACUGGGCG